rnacentral:rRNA from 1 species
UACGGGGGGGGGCAAGCGUUGUUCGGAAUUACUGGGCGUAAAGGGUGCGUAGGCGGCUUUCUAAGUUGGAUGUGAAAACUCUGGGCUCAACCCAGAGACUGCAUCCAAAACUGGAGAGCUUGGGUUCUGGAGGGGAAAGCGGAAUUCCUGGUGUAGCGGUGAAGUGACGUGAGAUAUCAGGAGGAACACCGGUGGCGAAGGCGGCUUUCUGGACAGAUACCGACGCUGAGGCACGAAAGCUAGGGGAGCAAACAGG